rnacentral:rRNA from 1 species
GUGAACGCUGGCGGUAGGCCUAACACAUGCAAGUCGAACGGCAGCACAGUAAGAGCUUGCUCUUACGGGUGGCGAGUGGCGGACGGGUGAGGAAUACAUCGGAAUCUACUUUUUCGUUGGGGAUAACGUAGGGAAACUUACGCUAAUACCGCAUACGACCUACGGGUGAAAGCAGGGGAUCUUCGGACCUUGCGCGAUUGAAUGAGCCGAUGUCGGAUUAGCUAGUUGGCGGGGUAAAGGCCCACCAAGGCGACGAUCCGUAGCUGGUCUGAGAGGAUGAUCAGCCACACUGGAACUGAGACACGGUCCAGACUCCUAAGGGAGGCAGCAGUGGGGAAUAUUGGACAAUGGGCGCAAGCCUGAUCCAGCCAUACCGCGUGGGUGAAGAAGGCCUUCGGGUUGUAAAGCCCUUUUGUUGGGAAAGAAAAGCAGCAGGUUAAUACCCCGCUGUUCUGACGGUACCCAAAGAAUAAGCACCGGCUAACUUCGUG